rnacentral:lncRNA from 1 species
CUUUCCCCUUCUCCCCGUGCCUCUGUGCACGAUUACCGGCGACGGUUGUCGUCGAUUUUUAAUCGGAGAAGAGACCCCUGUUUGGUCUCUUCUUCCCUUUGAUUUUCCAGUGCCGGCGAUCACAAUCGACCACCGGCCUUGCCUCUCCAAACUCGGGAGAGUUGUCCCCCUCUACCGCCGGCCUCCGCCGUGUCGGCCGUGGCCUGAACGGUCGGGUAAGGGAGGGGACCUGCCAGUCCCCUACUUCGGCCAGGAAGGAGCCCGAGAAAAAGAAG